GAAAUGCGAUAAGUAAUGUGAAUUGCAGAAUUCAGUGAAUCAUCGAAUCUUUGAACGCACCUUGCGCUCCUUGGUAUUCCUUGGAGCAUGCCUGUUUGAGUAUCAUGAACUCUUCAACGUAAAUCUUUUGUUAACUCAAUUGGUUUCUACUUUGGUAUUGGAGGUCUUUGCAGCUUCACACCUGCUCCUCUUUGUUCAUUAGCUGGAUCUCAGUGUUAUGCUUGGUUCCACUCGGCGUGAUAAGUUAUCUAUCGCUGAGGACACUGUAAAAGGUGGCCAAGGUAAAUGCAGAUGAACCGCUUCUAAUAGUCCAUUGACUUGGACAAUACUUUUAUGAUCUGAUCUCAAAUCAGGUAGGACUACCCGCUGAACUUAAGC
rnacentral:misc_RNA from 1 species